AUGUCGGUCUCGUCCUCGUCUAUGUGCGGCGGGGACGCCGGGAUGAAGUGCGUGGUCUGGUUCCGGAGGGACCUCAGGGUGGAGGACAACCCGGCGCUGGCGGCGGCGGCGCGCACCGCCGGGGAGGUGGUGCCGGCGUACGUGUGGUCGCCGGAGGAGGACGGCCCCUACUUCCCCGGCCGCGUGUCGCGGUGGUGGCUCAGCCAGAGCCUCAAGCACCUGGAGGCCUCGCUCCACCGCCUCGGCGCCGCCAAGCUCGUCACCCGGAGGUCGGCCGACUCCGUCGCCGCGCUGCUCCAGCUCGUCCGCGACACCGGCGCCACGCACCUCUUCUUCAACCAUCUCUACGACCCGAUCUCGCUGGUCAGGGACCACCGGCUCAAGGAGACGCUGACGGCAGAGGGCAUCGUCGUGCAGUCUUUCAAUGCUGACCUGCUGUAUGAUCCAUGGGAGGUCAACGAUGAUAAAGGCCAACCGUUCAACAUGUUCAUGCCGUUCUGGAACAGGUGCCUCAGCAUGCCGUAUGAUCCCCUCGCGCCACUGCUGCCCCCUAAGAGAAUCAAUUCAGGUGACCUAUCGAUGUGCCCAUCAGACGAUCUGAUCUUCGAGGAUGAGUCAGAGAGGGGAAGCAAUGCGCUUCUGGCACGGGCAUGGUCACCAGGCUGGCAGAACGCAGAUAAGGCGCUCAGUGCCUUCCUGAACGGCCCUUUGAUCGACUACUCGGUGAACCGCAAGAAGGCGGACAGCGCAAACACCUCCCUCCUUUCACCUUACCUGCAUUUUGGUGAGCUGAGUGUGCGCAAGGUUUUCCACCUUGUUCGAAUGAAGCAACUCGUGUGGAGCAAUGAGGGCAACCAUGCAGCUGAGGAGAGCUGCACUCUGUUCCUCCGAUCGGUCGGUCUCCGGGAGUACUCGCGAUAUCUUUGCUUCAACCAUCCAUGCAGCCAUGAGAAGCCCCUCCUUGCACACCUCAGGUUCUUCCCUUGGGUGGUCGACGAAAGCACCUUCAAGUUUUGGCGCCAGGGACGGACUGGCUACCCUCUUGUUGAUGCUGGCAUGAGGGAGUUGUGGGCGACUGGGUGGCUGCAUGAUCGGAUACGUGUGGUGGUUUCAAGUUUUUUCGUCAAGGUCCUUCAACUACCAUGGCGAUGGGGGAUGAAGUAUUUUUGGGACACUUUACUGGAUGCUGAUCUUGAGAGUGAUGCGCUUGGUUGGCAGUACAUCUCUGGCUCUCUCCCUGAUAGCCGGGAGCUCGACCACAUUGACAACCCUCAGCUCGAAGGCUACAAGUUUGAUCCACAUGGGGAAUAUGUCCGACGGUGGCUUCCUGAACUUGCAAGGCUGCCAACAGAAUGGAUACACCACCCAUGGGAUGCGCCUGCAUCUGUGCUGCAAGCUGCAGGAGUUGAGUUAGGCUCCAACUAUCCUCUCCCCAUAGUUGAGCUAGAUACAGCGCAAGUCAGGCUUCAAGAAGCCCUGUCAGAAAUGUGGCAACUUGAGGCAGCAUCCAGGGCCGCAAUGGACACUGGAAUGGAGGAAGGCCUGGGCGACUCCUCAGAGGUGCCACCAAUCGAAUUUCCCCAAGAUUUGCAGAUGGAAGUCCACUGGGAACCAGCCCGGGUAGCGCCCAAUGUGCUCACAACCGCACAGAGACGCCAGGAUCAGAUGGUGCCUACCAUGACAACUUCACUCAACAGGGUUGAAACAGAAAUUUCUGCUGAUUUGGGGAAUAGCGUGGAUAGUAGAGCAGAGGUGCCGUUCCGCAUGCAUUUUGAGCCACGGACUGAGAGGGAGGAAAUGAUUCAAAGCACGGGCAAUGCAGCUGGAACUAAUGGCAUUCACCAUCACAAUAACUUUCAGCAACCUCAGCACCGUAUGAGAAAUAUUUUUGCGCCAUCUGUAUCUGAAGCGUCAAGUAGCUGGACCGGGAGAGAUGGUGGCGUGGUCCCAGUUUGGUCGCCUCCUGCAGCAUCAGGCCAUUCCCAAACUUAUGGAGCUGAUGAAGCUGAUGUUUCUAGUAGGAGUUAUUUGGAUAGGCAUCCUCAGUCGCACCGGAUAAUGAACUGGCAUCAGCUAUCACAGUCAUUGUAA
rnacentral:rRNA from 1 species